UGUCCGCGAGUUGCCGAAUGAAGCUGAGCGUCUCAGUGGAACCAGGGAUCUCAGGGAGGGGAAGGUAUAAAAUUUUCAAAUGGAGGAGUAUACCUGAACCUAAUCAUGGAUGUGAUUUUAUGUAAGUAAUAUGUGAGAUACAGAUAAGCUGAUUCUAAAACUUACAAGAAUGGCAAAGAAACAAGAAGAGCUUAAACUGCAAUCAUCAACAGAGAAGCUUUCUGCAACCAAAGUGAAGACUGAAGCCUUAGGCUAUGGCAGAAGUUGGGCGCCUGAAGUACACGUGGAAAUAUGCCAACUGAACAUUGGACUACCACGUCAAGGGUCUCCUACCCCUGGGCCAUGGAUCAAUACCAGUCUGUGACCUGUUAGGAACCGGUAGCAGGAGCGCCUGCCCCUGGCUCAGCGCCCGGUGCCAACAGAACACCUUUCAGGAUCCACAGCAACGCAGACAACAUUUUAAAGCACCUGAUGGAUUUGGAAAAUAUUUAAUGAAGACAAUGAUGCUGACAUCUCAAGUUAAAAGGUUCUACAGAGAAGGCAAAGAUUUUGAAGGCACAGGAGACUAUCAUAGAUAUUCACAACGGCAUCUCCCUAAAGGAUUUGAAAGCUUUGCAUCAACCAAAGGAAAAGCACCAGUGAGAGUCAAGAUACAGUUCCAGACAGAUGUAAUUGGUUAAGAUAAGAUCAUACUGGAUGUGGAUGGGUCCUAGAUCUGACUGCUGAUAUCCUUAUAAGAAGAAGAAAGGACACGCGGAGACUACAGUGAUGUUGCCACAAGCCAAGAAAUGCCAAGAAUUUCGGGAGCCACCAGAAGAUGGAAGAGGCAGGGAAAAAUCCUCCCCUAAAGCCUUCAGAGAGAGCAUAGCUCUGCCAACACCUUGAUUCUGGACAUCUAGCCUCUUAAACUUCCUCAGGUGUCUCAUUUCUUCUGUCUCAGAAGUCAUGGAUGUCAAUGAAGAUAUGGAAUUCACUUAUUCAUUCUUAUAAAUAUUACUUAGUGUCCUUGUGCUUGGCACUGUGCUUGGUCAUUGAGAUCUACUGUUCAAAAGCAAGAUAACAUACAGGCUGGAAUAGCGAGAUGCAAGAAUCCCAAGCCUUCAAAGCCAGCUCCUGCAGAAGAGAGAGGGCCUGGCAGCUGAGCUGGAUGCUUCAGGAGCAGAGGAUCUAUCAACUGCAGACCAAGCACAGGGAGACGCAGGCAAACCUGGAACAGUAACCCAGCCAGCUCCAAUUGCUCCGACAGUACUUGGUGGCCAGAGAGUCGGCAGCAGAAAGCAUGCCCCGGGCCGUGAAGCAGGAAAUCGACUCUGACUCAAUCCUUGAGGUCUGUAUUACAUCUGGGAGUACAACUUGAAGGGCCCCACACUCUUGUUUCUCAGCACCUCAUAAAUCUAAGCCCACGUGAAGUGAACAGAGCAUCCCUUCUUCAAGAGAAUGGAAAAAGAAAGGAUGCUGAGGAGGAACUGUUGGGGGCAGAGCCCUUGAAGCCAGCUGGCAAGACUGAGACCACUGAUCAAUGCUUUGCCCACUGAAAGGACAACCUUAUAAAGAAUUGGAACCAUUAAGCUUUAAUUUUUAGAAAUUUGGAUGCUAGAGGGAAUGGUCUUUAGGGACCGCUGCGGUCCCUAAACCCAUCAUCUGCUCUGGUGCCAGGAUACAAAUCUGUUCGCCCUGAAUCCUUCAUCUGCUUGGAUGUCCAGGAUACAAUCUUUUCAGUUUGGGAACUUCUGACUGUUUUUCUCAGGUGUCUGCCUUGCUUCAAUGCUUAUAUCUUGAACAUUGUGUCUUUACGUGUCUGCCUUCGGCAGGUUUCAUUAAUUUGUAAUUUAUGCCUACAAAAUUGUUUAAGCACUUCUGGAUCUUACACUGGUCAAGGGUGUGUAUUAGUGGGUGUGUGUGCACUAUACAGACUGUGGGGCAGAAUCUACUGGGUUUUGUUUUUCCUGAUUUUAAAAUGUUUAGUCAUUCUGAUCCAUACGUGUGAGUUAAUAAGUGUGUGUCUCUGUAUCUUGGUGCAAGUGUCUGUACUCGGGAAGCAGUGAACACAAGCAGUUUAGAAUAGUAUUCCACAUUUCUCUACCAUUUGCAUUAACUGUGUCUUUCCAAAAUGCAUAUUCAGCUUCAUUUUUUUUUUUUAUUCAGAGGUGGUAGUUUUCAAACUCAAAUCUAGCUCAUUUGUCUCUUUUAGCACAUGAUUGAGGAUUAGGGACUAUUCUAACUGGCAGUCAAGGGUCAGUAUUUUGGACUCCAUUUGGCUUAGAUAAUUUAUAUAGAAUAAAAGUCUAACAGGUAUAAUCACAAUAGCCUUGGCUUAAUAAUUUUCCAAGCAUACUUGAAGUUGAAAAACACUUCAAACUAAAAUUGGAAGAAUGUUCUGGUUAGUAAGUUGUAUGCUUCUGUAAUAAUGGAGAGAAUUGGAAUGCAGUUCUCUUUGUUUGAUUUAUAUGGCAACACCAAGAAUGUGAGACGUGUGUUUUACUGUAGAAAUAAACUUUCAACAUUGACCUAGAGAACAGAAGACUCAGGUUGGUACUUAAAUCCUGCUCUGCUAGGUUAUAAUGAAAAGCAUCUUAAUAAGAAUAGAUUUUUUAGGAAGAAAAAUCUUAAGAUUCAUGUCUUUCUCUCAUUGUUUGCAAUAUUUGUCAACAUUUGCUUGCAUGAUUCCUACGAAGAACAAGCUUAUUUGGAGAAAGUGAUCUAAAUUUUAGAAUUGAAUGUACUCCACUAAUUAAAUGUGUAUGUCCUUGUGAUCUUAG
rnacentral:lncRNA from 1 species